ensembl:lncRNA
AUUACAUGGUAUUACAUAUUUAUGUUUCACCAAGAAAAAAAUGUCUCUCUUGUCAUCUCAAACCCAUGUGCUGUUUAAUUUUUUAGGUAAAACAGAAAAAAAAAAUAAAAAAAAUAAAAAAAUAAAUAAAUAGAAUAAAAUAAAAUUAAUUGAAAUAACAAAAUGAAAUAAAUACAUAAAUGGGGUAGUUUUCAUUCAGAAAUUGCUAACAAAUUUCACAUAAAAAAAUAUAAAGCAAUUACAAUUAACAUGUUGAAUUAAAUGUGAAAUUUUGAAGUAGAAAGACUGAAAUAGGGUAAAGCGUACACCAGUAAUCUUUGUUUUUGUCAUUGUUAUGGUCUGUUUUGCUUCGGUUUCUGUUUCCACAUUUCCCUGAGUUCCUGUGUCUAUUAGUUUCCAUGGUUUUUGAUUAAUUAGCUCCACAGUUGUUUCAGUUCUCCCUAAUUAAGUUUCUGUACUUAAGUUUUGUGUUCUCCCCUGGUCGUUGGUCCGCUAUUGAAGUUGAUUUGGAUUUGUGUUGCUGAAUGCUGGAUUUAUUCCUGGAUUCUUGAUUAAAAACCCUUUUUAACUUUGUUACUUCAUUGUGUGCUUCCUUUUUAGCCAGCUCACAUGUUACAGAAUAGCGGACCCCCAAGUGAGAAAAAUAUAGUGGUGUUUUUCUUUAGUUUCAUUUCUUUUUCCUUCGUUCUUCUGGAAUGGAUCUGCCAGCCGUGCAGCUCCUAUGCCUGGAGUAGUUGGACCGUUGGCUGGAGGACCAUGCCAGGGACUUUUUAGAUCUUGCGUGCCUUACUCACUAUCCUGACCGCUCGCUCUGUGUAUUUUAUAUCACCAACCUGAGCUAGCGGUGUAAGGCACGAGGGCUUGGAGGGAAGCCCUGCCCACACUCCUGCUGCUAAGGGUGAACUGCAGCUGGUCUCUGGACAUUAUUACUAUAAGAAACUUUUCAAAAAAUUAUUCAAUUGGAUUUAAAAGACUGGUUUGGAGAGGUUGUUCCCAGUUCCCCUGAACUUCGAUUGUCCCCUGCGUCUCCUGAGUCUCCGCUGUUUCUGUCCAGCUCUCCUGUGUCUCCUGGGUCUCCGCUAGUUCCGUCCAGCUCUCCUGUGUCUCCUAAGCUACCUGUGGCUCCUAAGCUCCCACCCAGCCUCCCUCUCCCGCCUCCUCUAAAACCAGCCAGUUCCUCAGUCCUAUCUCUGCUGGGGCCUGUCAGUCCCUCAGCUCACCCUCAGUCAACGCUAUCUGGUCGCUCUGAUCUGCCUCAGGACUUCCAGUCUCCAGCUCUGCCUUGGCGUGAGGAUCCCCUCUUUCCUCCUCCAGCUUCCAAGUCCUGGACUCCACCUCGGCCCCUUCUAUCCAAUGGCUCCACCUUGGCUCCUAGAUCCCUCGUCUCCACUGUGGCCCAUCAUCCCACCCACUCCUCCGGGCUCCCUCAUCCCUCCGGCUCCGCCUUGGAGGCUUCCUGCUAAAUGGGUAGACUUCAUUCUCUUAACAAGCAAUCGUGAUCCUCCAACCGCCCAAGAAGGUGCUGGAAAGCAGCAUAAGGUCGGCAGAUUCACGUCACCCUGGUACCGGAUGCCAAGCCUAAUAGUCUGAUUUUGGCCAGAACCUGAGGUGAACUAUGCCGUAAUGUGUUUGGAUAAUGAGAAGCUGUGCCUUUCUGUAGCGUUCUGUGAGCCGAUGCCAUACACCACAGGGCUUCCAUCAAAGUGACAUAGAAACUCUUUGCCAGUCAGCCAAUAGCCAUCCUGGAGAGGCUGACAGAUUUCUGGGCAGACCCUCCCUCGCUGCUCUCCGUUCUCCAGGGAAACUCUGGAGGCCUGUACUUGAGAGGGAGUGGGCAUCCGUAAGUGUGUCAUCUUGCAUGUCUUCUGUUUAGAGAUCAGUACUGAUUCUUCUUCUGUUGGUUUGAGAGAGAGCAGUUGGGGGUGGACUUUGAUCCGUUGGGUGUGUGUGUGUUUCCAUUGUGUGUUGGUGAGUAUUAUUGUCUGUGUAAAUAUUAAUAUUCAAGAACUUGGAUUUUUUAUUUAUUUAUUUACUUGUUUAACCAGGAAGGUCCCAUUGAGAUACAAUAUCUCUUCUACCAAGGAGUCCUGGUCAAGAUAGGCAGCAAAAGUCAAAGUUACAAAGAAAUACACAUCACCACACAGUGAACAAACAUAAAACACAAUUUUCUAAAAACAAUACAAAUCCUAGUCAGUUAUUAAAACAUGUGCACUGUUCUAUAUAAACAGAUUUAAAAAUAUUUUUAAACAUAGCAAGAGAUGUUACAGAUUCCAUAUGUAAUGUACCUUGAAGCUCAUUCCAUACAUACGGAGCAUAUCUAGAAAAAGCUGAACUUUUCUGUUUGAAAAAUCGGCAUCAUAAGUAAGAGUUUAUCUGUUGAUCUGGUAUUAUAAAUAUUUGUGCAAUAUGUCAACAAGCUAGAUAUAUUCUGUGGUAAUUUACCCCCUAAAGCUUUUAAAAUAAAAAUUAACAUAUGUUUUUUUUUUUUUUCAUCUUAAGUGCAAUGAAGUCCAUUUUGUAAUUUCAUAUAAAUUACAGUGAUGUGUGCGGACACU